AUAUUUCAUCAUAAAUAACCACAACAAAAAAGAUCUAGCAAACAAAUAUGUUUAUUAGAAGUAGAAAUAUUUCAUUGAUCGAUGAAAAUUUCAACAUAUAUAAAGCAAUCAACAGCACAUAUAUAUGAUAUAUAUACAUAUUCUUUCAAAGAAAAAAAAAAUGAUAUAUACAUAUACCUACAAAAUAACAAAGUGCACUAAUUGCUAAAAUUGCUUACACAAAAGUGAUAGCUUAUUGCAUAAAUAUGAGAUGAGAUCUUUAUAUAGGAUACAUAAAUUGCCAAAGGAUCAUUGGUUGCCCUUCCUUAUAGGUUAAGAUCUUGAGGGUUUCUUUCAACCAUGACCUAGCUUGUAGCUAGGUCUAACUUGAAGCACUAUUUUGCCUUCAAUUUUGCUUCUUUGCUUCCAUCUUUGAUGCAAAUGUUGAGAUCUGAACUUGAGACUCAUGUUAUGAUUUGUGGCUGGAAGAAAGAAACAAAAAAAAGUGUUACUGCAUAUAUAAAUACAGGAGUUGCUGAUGAGAGCAAAAAGAAGAGAAUAAUAGUGGUGCUCAAGUGAGGGAAACAUGUUUGGUUUUCAUAGUGGCUUUUGUAGGUGAAAAAGAAAGUGGAGAAAGGAUCUUCUCAGCAUAUACCUUGACAAAAUUUGGUUGCUUUUCUGCCAUUGAUUUACUUUUCCUAAAAAAAAUAACUUUAUUAAGCAAAGUUAGUGUGACAUCUACAUUUUUGGAAUUUGAUUAAUCAGUGUCGACAUUUAUGUGUAG
rnacentral:lncRNA from 1 species